AGCAACAGCAGCAGCAGCCGCCGCCUCACAAUUCUGGUCCAGCCAGCAGCGCUGCAAACAACUAUUGCCAGCAUCAGCUUCAUAUACGUACAAAAGCCUUCUUUGCCAUAGCCAUUAUUGCAUUCGCGUCUGUGUAUGGGUGUGAGUGCUGUCGCCCGGCGAGGCGCUGCAACUUACCGUGCACAAGUUCACCUCAUGCACACACACACACACUCAAAGCUGGCUUGUGCAUAUUCGCGCUGCCGCGCGUUGCCGAUUUUUCGUCAGUGUGGUUGGAAGCUAUCGCACGCUGCCGUGUGCCGUCGUAUUAUGUCGUUUGGGUUUCCUAUACCUUAAGUAUCUACCAACAACUUUAAAGAAGAGGGACAACAGAGCACGAACUGCAAAGUCUCCAUUACUAUUAGCGCUGUGUACAGUAACAAAGCAGUCAUCUUCGGCAACCAUCUACAGCAUUUGUAUUGUCCUCACCAGCAUCUUAAACAUCCACCAACGCGAAUUUGAACUGUUUACUCUCGCGUGUGCGCUCAUGCUCUUCCUGCUCAGAAUCUAACCUGCCACGAGAUGGUAACUCCCCUACCACCUGUACUUCACUUCAACGUUUUUUCCGAUGAUUCGUCACCUCCUCACAACUCCUUCUGCUAGCCGGUCUGCUGCACCAACAGCGUCACUAUCGUAAUUAUUGUCGCCAUCAUUGGCAGAGUCAUCAUUAUUAUUAUCAUCAUCAGCAGCAGCAGCAGCUGCAGCAUAUUAUUUUACGUGUUUAGCUUCGUCAACCUCUGCUUGAUUGUUUGGAGAGCACUAAAGGUGCUUUCGCAGCAGCUGUGCUCCAGACAGGCAGUCAGUUGAAUCGGUCGGUUGAGUCGAGAGCGGUUAAUACAGUCAACCUUUGACAAUUCGUCGUUUUGUAAGCUCGUUAAGUUGGGAUGCUGCAAACAAGUUGAACUUUCGUAUCUCUUCAUGCCAGCAUUUUAUAACUAAGAUACUAAAAUCCAGAGGA